rnacentral:rRNA from 1 species
AGAGUUUGAUCAUGGCUCAGAUUGAACGCUGGCGGCAGGCUUAACACAUGCAAGUCGAGCGGAAACGAUGGGAGCUUGCUCCCAGGCGUCGAGCGGCGGACGGGUGAGUAAUACUUAGGAAUCUACCUAGUAGUGGGGGAUAGCUCGGGGAAACUCGAAUUAAUACCGCAUACGACCUACGGGAGAAAGGGGGCAACUUGUUGCUCUCGCUAUUAGAUGAGCCUAAGUCGGAUUAGCUAGAUGGUGGGGUAAAGGCCUACCAUGGCGACGAUCUGUAGCUGGUCUGAGAGGAUGAUCAGCCACACCGGGACUGAGACACGGCCCGGACUCCUACGGGAGGCAGCAGUGGGGAAUAUUGGACAAUGGGGGCAACCCUGAUCCAGCCAUGCCGCGUGUGUGAAGAAGGCCUUUUGGUUGUAAAGCACUUUAAGCAGUGAAGAAGACUCCAUGGUUAAUACCCAUGGACGAUGACAUUAGCUGCAGAAUAAGCACCGGCUAACUCUGUGCCAGCAGCCGCGGUAAUACAGAGGGUGCAAGCGUUAAUCGGAAUUACUGGGCGUAAAGCGAGCGUAGGUGGCUUGAUAAGUCAGAUGUGAAAGCCCCGGGCUUAACCUGGGAACGGCAUCUGAUACUGUUAGGCUAGAGUAGGUGAGAGGAAGGUAGAAUUCCAGGUGUAGCGGUGAAAUGCGUAGAGAUCUGGAGGAAUACCGAUGGCGAAGGCAGCCUUCUGGCAUCAUACUGACACUGAGGUUCGAAAGCGUGGGUAGCAAACAGGAUUAGAUACCCUGGUAGUCCACGCCGUAAACGAUGUCUACUAGUCGUUGGGUCCCUUGAGGACUUAGUGACGCAGCUAACGCAAUAAGUAGACCGCCUGGGGAGUACGGCCGCAAGGUUAAAACUCAAUGAAUUGACGGGGCCCGCACAAGCGGUGGAGCAUGUGGUUUAAUUCGAUGCACGCGAGACCUUACCUGGUCUUGACAUAUCUAGAAUCCUGCAGAGAUGCGGAGUGCUUCGGGA